GACCCAGGGGCCGGCUGGAGCUGGGAGGAGCCGUCGGCCGUCGUCACCGUGCAGGACAAGAUUCGCGCCUACCGGGAGACGCGCUCGCGCGUGUCCGAAUCGGAGCAGCAGGCCCCCGAGCCGGACUUCUUCUCGGACAUGGCUCCGAGCAUAAGGCGCUCGCAGAGGGUGCUGGUCGGGUCGGAGGAGCCCUCGGCCGCCGUCGACGCUGCUGGUCUCUCCUCCCGGCUGGCCUACACCGACAGCAUGGUGAUGCCACAGGCCGCUGAGCUGACCGACUUGGUGGAACC